CAAUCGAACCCGGAGAUAGCUGGUUCUCCUCGAAAUAGCUUUAGGGCUAGCCUCGCAUUAGUUUACCGGAGGUAGAGCACUGAAUGGUCUAGGGGGCCUCACCGCCUACCGAAACCUAUCAAACUGCGAAUGCCGGAUAAAUGAUGUGCGGGAGUCAGGCCGCGAGAGAUAAGUUCCGCGGUCAAAAGGGGAACACCCCAGAUCGUCUGCUAAGGUCCCCAAGUACGCGUUAAGUGGGAAAGGAUGUUGGAUUGCACAGACAACCAGGAUGUUGGCUUAGAAGCAGCCACACAUUCAAAGAGUGCGUAAUAGCUCACUGGUCGAGUGAUCCAGCGCCGAAAAUGUAACGGGGCUAAAACGCGACACCGAAGCAGCGGGAUGCGUAAGCAUCGGUAGAGGAGCAUUGUGUGAGGGUUGAAGCCAGAGCGGGAGCACUGGUGGACUUCACAGAAGAGAGAAUGCCGGUAUGAGUAGCGAGACCCAUGCGAGAAACAUGGGCGUCGAAGGCCCAAGGUUUCCUGGGGAAGGUUCAUCCACCCAGGGUAAGUCGGGACCUAAGCCGAGGACUGAGGUCGUAGGCGAUGGACAGCAGGUAGAGAUUCCUGCACCACUUAUACUUGUUUGACGAAGCAGUGACACAGAAGGAUAGGACGAGCGCGGUGAUGGUCAACCGCGUAGGCGGCACGAGGCCGGGAAGCAGUGAAGUACACUUCCCGCAAAGGCUGAGUGUUGACAGGACCGAAAAGAAGUAGGGAAGCGUCCGAGUUCACGCUGGCGAGAAAAGCUGCUAAGGAGAGUGUGAGUGCCCGUACCGGAAACCGACGCAGGUGGGCGAGGAGAGAAUCCUGAGACGGACGGGAGAACUCUUGUUAAGGAACUCGGCAAAAUGACCCCGUAACUUCGGGAGAAGGGGUGCCUCGAAAGAGGCCGCAGAGAAUAGUCACAAGCGACUGUUUAGCAAAAACACAGGUAUCUGCGAAAGCGAGAGCUGACGUAUAGGUGCUGACGCCUGCCCGGUGCUGGAAGGUUAAGGGGAAGUGUUAGGGGAAACCCGAAGCAGAGAACCGAAGCCCCAGUAAACGGCGGCCGUAACUAUAACGGUCCUAAGGUAGCGAAAUUCCUUGUCGGGUAAGUUCCGACCCGCACGAAUGGCGUAACGACUUGUGAGCUGUCUCAACAGGAGGCCCGGUGAAAUUGAAGUAUGUGUGAAGAUGCACAUUACCCGCGACUGGACGGAAAGACCCCGUAGAGCUUUACUGUAACCUGACAUUGGAUCUUGAUAACGGAUGCACAGGAUAGGUGGGACGCUGGGAGACGAGGACUUUGGUUUUCGUGGAGCGGCCGUUGGGAUACCACUCUUCUGUUAUUGAGAUUCUAACCUCAAGCCGUGAGCCGGAUGAGAGACAGUGUCAGGCGGACAGUUUGACUGGGGCGGUCGCCUCCGAAAGAGUAACGGAGGCGCCCAAAGGUACCCUCAGAAUGGAUGGAAACCAUUCGAAGAGAGCAAAGUCAGAAGGGUGCUUGACUGCGAGACCAACAAGUCGAGCAGGUACGAAAGUAGGGCUUAGUGAUCCGGCGGUAAGAGAGUGGAAUUGCCGUCGCUCAACGGAUAAAAGCUACCUCGGGGAUAACAGGCUGAUCUCCCCCAAGAGUUCACAUCGACGGGGAGGUUUGGCACCUCGAUGUCGGCUCGUCGCAUCCUGGGGCUGAAGCAGGUCCCAAGGGUUUGGCUGUUCGCCAAUUAAAGCGGCACGCGAGCUGGGUUCAGAACGUCGUGAGACAGUUCGGUCCCUAUCCAUCGUGGGCGAAGGACACAUGAGAGGAGCUGCUCCUAGUACGAGAGGACCGGAGUGGACGCAUCACUGGUGCAACUGUUGUCGUGCCAACGGCACAGCAGGGAAGCGAAAUGCGGACGGGAUAAACGCUGAAGGCAUCUAAGCGUGAAGCCCACCUCAAGAAUAAGUGUCCCAUUCGAAAGAAGUAAGACCCCUGGAAGACUACCAGGUGAUAGGUCAUCGGUGAAAGAGUGGUAACAUUUGGAGCUUGAUGAUACUAAUCGGUCGAGGACUUGAUCUA
rnacentral:rRNA from 1 species